AGAGUUUGAUCCUGGCUCAGAGUGAACGCUGGCGGCGUGCUUAACACAUGCAAGUCGAACGAGAACGGAUUAUAGCUUGCUAUAAUUGUCAGCUAAGUGGCGCACGGGUGAGUAAUAUAUAGAUAACCUGCCCUCUAGAAAGGAAUAACAGUUGGAAACGACUGCUAAUGCCCUAUAUGCCUUUAAUACAUAAGUAUGCAAGGGAAACGCUUUAGUGCUUGAGGAUGGGUCUGUAUGGUAUCAGCUUGUUGGUGAGGUAAUGGCUCACCAAGGCUAUGACGCCUAACUGGUUUGAGAGGAUGAUCAGUCACACUGGAACUGAGACACGGUCCAGACUCCUACGGGAGGCAGCAGUGGGGAAUAUUGCACAAUGGACGAAAGUCUGAUGCAGCAACGCCGCGUGGAGGAUGACACAUUUCGGUGCGUAAACUCCUUUUAUAUGAGAAGAUAAUGACGGUAUUAUAUGAAUAAGCACCGGCUAACUCCGUGCCAGCAGCCGCGGUAAUACGGGGGGUGCAAGCGUUACUCGGAAUCACUGGGCGUAAAGAGCAUGUAGGCGGAUUGAUAAGUUUGAAGUGAAAUCCUAUAGCUUAACUAUAGAACUGCUUUGAAAACUGUUAAUCUAGAAUGUGGGAGAGGUAGAUGGAAUUUCUGGUGUAGGGGUAAAAUCCGUAGAGAUCAGAAGGAAUACCGAUUGCGAAGGCGAUCUACUGGAACAUUAUUGACGCUGAGACGCGAAAGCGUGGGGAGCAAACAGGAUUAGAUACCCUGGUAGUCCACGCCCUAAACGAUGUACACUAGUUGUUGUGAGGCUCGACCUUGCAGUAAUGCAGUUAACACAUUAAGU
rnacentral:rRNA from 1 species